rnacentral:rRNA from 1 species
UACGGGGGGGCAAGCGUUGUUCGGAAUUACUGGGCGUAAAGGGCUCGUAGGCGGCCAACUAAGUCCGACGUGAAAUCCCCAGGCUUAACCUGGGAACUGCGUCGGAUACUGGAUGGCUUGAAUCCGGGAGAGGGAUGCGGAAUUCCAGGUGUAGCGGUGAAAUGCGUAGAUAUCUGGAGGAACACCGGUGGCGAAGGCGGCAUCCUGGACCGGCAUUGACGCCUGAGGAGCGAAAGCCAGGGAGCAAACGGGG